rnacentral:rRNA from 1 species
ACGCAGCUGCUGCGUGUAUGGUUAGUGGCAGACGGGUGAGUAAUGCAUAGGAAUCUACCUAGUAGUAUGGGAUAGCCACUAGAAAUGGUGGGUAAUACUGUAUAAUCCCUGCGGGGGAAAGAUUUAUCGCUAUUAGAUGAGCCUAUGUCAGAUUAGCUAGUUGGUGGGGUAAUGGCCUACCAAGGCGGUGAUCUGUAGCUGGUCUGAGAGGAUGAUCAGCCACACUGGAACUGAGACACGGUCCAGACUCCUACGGGAGGCAGCAGUGGGGAAUAUUGGACAAUGGGCGCAAGCCUGAUCCAGCUAUGCCGCGUGAGUGAGGAAGGCCUUAGGGUUGUAAAACUCUUUCAGUAGGGAAGAUAAUGACGGUACCUACAGAAGAAGUCCCGGCAAACUCCGUGCCAGCAGCCGCGGUAAUACGGAGGGGGCAAGCGUUGUUCGGAUUUUUUGGGG